rnacentral:sRNA from 1 species
CCCAGGGUUCCGCUUCGCUGCACCCUGGGCUGGAGGAUUUCGCGCCUUCAGCGCU